GCGAACGCUGGCGGCAGGCCUAACACAUUCCAGUCGAACGAACCUUUCGGGGUUAGUGGCGGACGGGUGAGUAACACGUGGGAACGUGCCUUUAGGUUCGGAAUAACUCAGGGAAACUUGUGCUAAUACCGAAUGUGCCCUUCGGGGGAAAGAUUUAUCGCCUUUAGAGCGGCCCGCGUCUGAUUAGCUAGUUGGUUGAGGUAAUGGCUCACCAAGGCGACGAUCAGUAGCUGGUCUGAGAGGAUGAUCAGCCACAUUGGGACUGAGACACGGCCCAAACUCCUACGGGAAGCAGCAGUGGGGAAUCUUGCGCAAUGGGCGAAAGCCUGACGCAGCCAUGCCGCGUGAAUGAUGAAGGUCUUAGGAUUGUAAAAUUCUUUCACCGGGGACGAUAAUGACGGUACCCGGAGAAGAAGCCCCGGCUAACUUCGUG
rnacentral:rRNA from 1 species